UUGGAGGGCAAGUCUGGUGCCCGGGAUUGGAGGGCAAGUCUGGUGCCAGCAGCCGCGGUAAUUCCAGCUCCAAUAGCGUAUAUUAAAGUUGUUGCAGUUAAAAAGCUCGUAGUUGAAUUUCGGGAUCAGUACGCUGGUCAUGCCUUCGGUAUGUACUGGUGUUACUGGUUCCUACCUUCUGACGAACCGUCAUGUCAUUAAUUUGGUGUGGCGGGGAAUCAGGACUGUUACUUUGAAAAAAUUAGAGUGUUUAAAGCAGGC
rnacentral:rRNA from 1 species